UACGUAGGGGGCAAGCGUUGUCCGGAUUUAUUGGGCGUAAAGAGCGUGUAGGCGGCCAAGCAGGUCCGCUGUGAAAACUCGAGGCUCAACCUCGAGACGUCGGUGGAAACCGUAUGGCUAGAGUCCGGAAGAGGAGAGUGGAAUUCCCGGUGUAGCGGUGAAAUGCGCAGAUAUCAGGAGGAACACCGGUGGCGAAGGCGGGUCUCUGGGCAGUAACUGACGCUGAGGAGCGAAGGCGUGGGGAGCGAACAGG
rnacentral:rRNA from 1 species